GCGCCAGUAGCUCAGCUGGAUAGAGCAAUUGCCUUCUAAGCAAUAGGUCAUAGGUUCGACUCCUAUCUGGCGCA
rnacentral:tRNA from 1 species